GGAACAAAAAUUAAGGCUGUUCUCACAAAGCGGGCAGAUGAAAAUGCCCGUGAGGUACUUUUUUAAACAACAACAAUGCUCCAGUUUUGAAACGUUUGAAGCUUUAUGUUAGUAAACUAUCUCAUCCAUACCCACGGUAGCUCCAAUAUAGGUGAGAUAGUGAGACAGAGUCUAAAAAGCAUUGUGACAGACAAUGUUCUCUGUCUGUACAACCGGAUUGGGAAAGAUGGGAAGGUGUUGCCACCUGGGCUCCUGACAUGUUUGAAAAGAUGUGUCAGGUCUUUUCAAACGCACAAUGAAAUAGAGGUGAAGAAGCAAAAAGUCGUCACAAUAACUACACCAGAAGCUGAAUGUAUUCGCCAAGUUGAAAUUGUGUCCAAUGCCAACACCAGGCUGAAAAGAAAACAAAAUAA